GCGUUUUUUAGAGUAUGUGAAAGCAUCAUUGCUCAUCUUGUUUACAUCUCUUGAUCCACCUUGUGAGCCACGUGGCUCCUCGGCUCGGGACCGAGGAGCUGAGCUGAAAUCCUCUUCAUCCUCCUGACUAAAAUGGCACAGUCCGUAUGUUUUGGAUCUGACGACCGUCUUCUUGGGAGGGUUUGUCUUCACGGAAGCUCUCCCUCGCUCCUCGUAAUCCGCAAGAACUGUGUCCAUCUCUCCAUCAAUGUCAUCGUCCUCCCGAGAAAAGUCAGAGUCGUGCCCCUCGCUGUGGCAGUCCGGUUGCGCACGGUUGCGCGUGUUGCGCAAAAUUGCAUGGAUUUUGAGAGGCUUGAAUGGACGGCUGUCCUGUUUGGGUGAAGUGACACCGCCAGUUGUUUUGGUCACGUUCACUUCGCUGACACACGCAGGUGCAACUUUCUUCCCUCGGCUUGUGCCGCUGCCCAUGUCCGUCCGUCUGACUGCUUUCAAAAUCUAAGUGCAGAGUUUCAUUUCCAAAUUCCUCUUCAGGUACACCAAGACCUUCCAGAAGUUGAACAUUAACCAGCAACGAUCCUUGGCAGCCUGUUUAAGGUCAGUUUUCAAUUAGGUUUACGGCUGUAAGACAGUUAUUUGGCUAAAAACCAGCUCUAGGGGCCGAUUUUCUUUAAAAUGUUCCGCUACCGAUCUGCAGACGAACUGCUGAGAUGAUCUCCAUGUUUGCAGACCCGCUGCCUGUAAACUUUUUAACUGCACAUCAGGAUGAGAAGCAGUGUAUCAGUUACAUAACACCAGUUUGGCUCAGGAUCCCAGGGAGAAAACUCCGCCUUCUCAUAGCGCUAAUAGAUUUUAUUGAGGCAAGUGAGGUCAGGAGUGAGUGAGUUGCUGUCCGCCCGCCUGGUCCAGGAGGCCCCCAGCUCACCAGCCCCUCCAGUGACUGAUUAAGACUGAAGCACUGAGCCACAAGACAAGAGGGGGCAUUCCUUUCCGACAGCUUGGGCUUCCCAGAGAUUCCUCAAUAAGCUUUUGUUUGAUCCACUUGGACAUACAAAAGACACAGCGGGAGCAUCUCCCUGCCAGAGCUGUCCAACAGGAACCUAGAGUUCACCCAAGUAAAGGAGUUGUUUGCUAUCUUUCAUUAAGUGCCUCUUUCUCUCUUCUCUUGCUUGUGUGUGCACAUAUGUGUGUGUGUGCCAGACAGCUGUGCAACCUGUUCUCCCUGGAGGAUGACCAAGUCAAAGACACCUGCUGUGUAAGCAACUGGCAUUUUUCAAACUGUGAAUGUGAGAGGGGAACAAAUCAGCCUGCAAGUCCCAGAUGUGUCAUCAAGGAAAUUCCUGCUUUACUUUUUUUUGGAGAACAUGUCGGGGAAAAGAUCUACGCUAUUGUUCCUUUACUUAAAUGUUACUCAAACAGGAUGCUUAUGCUUUUGAAGACUACUUUCAGUAGCAGUUAUUCUUCAUGAAAGGCCCAGUGUGUUAUCCUGAUUAUAACCAUUUCAAUAUGAAUACCUAUCUCUAACCAAUCUCUCCAUUUUAAUAAAGUCCAAAGAUAAUAAUUUCUUUAUGAAAAGGUUUUCUUAUAGAUUGCCUUAUAGGAAAAAGAGCUUCAGAGCAAAACUGGGACAUCCUCCAGAUUGUGCAAUAAUAGCAUAAAUGUAUACUAUAGUUCUUGCCUCUCCAAAAGUCCAAUAAAAUCCAGUAGUAGUAGAAGAAGUAGAAGUCCUAAUUUUAGAUUGUACCCAAAAGUAAAAGCACACAAACAAGCUUCCUUUUCAUCCCUGCUUCUCAUGGAGUUUUGUUUUUGUAAUUUUUUGACCCCCAUUUUUGUUAUGCUCUGUCUGCAACAGUGUAUCAUUAAAAGAAUCAGGCGGCCACAUCUGGAAGAGAACUCAACAGCUUCCAGACGAGGGGGAGGAUCUGCCGCAAGACGGAGGCCACAGCCCAGCUCGCUGCAUAACUGUGGCUUCUCUGACUUCUCCCAGAUUCAAGAAUAUUCCUCCUCCCAUGCCACUUGAUAGACUGGGGAACAUUCUUGUUCUGGAUUCUGCAUGUCUUUGUGCAUUAAAUCCUCCAAAACUAUGUGAAUUGAAAUGAUUUUGGGACAAUGUGUUCGCUGCUUUAACUGUCACGAAUAAAAAUGCCCUUUGACCCUCCCAA